rnacentral:lncRNA from 1 species
UGAGGAAGAUCGAGUAUGCACGAAGGGUCUUUCCGUGAUAUGUUUUGAUAAUUAUGCACGAAUGAUUUUUUCGUGCCAUAUUUUUGAUUAAUUGAGCACGAAUGGGUCAUUACGUGCCUUGAUAUGAGCGUUGUGUGAGGGAAAUCACGAAGGGUGAUGCCGUGCACUAUAUUUGACGCUUUUGGUAAGAAAUGAGAGUAAAAGUACGAAGGUUGGUGACAUGCAGUUGUUGAUACACUUACUCACUUUUAUUGAUGUAAGUUAUUCAGUUUCCAUUUCUUGUUCGUUGAUAUUAUAUCUAAAUUGUUACACCCCACAAUAUGCCCUCUCCCUAUUAUCUAUUUACAAUUUGUAUAUUUUUCUGUUAUUGCACAUAUAUCUGUACAGGUUAAUUGUGGUACGUCCGGUCGAUCCUCGUCACUACCUCGCGGAGGUUAGGCCAGGCACUUACCAGUAUAUGGGGUCGGUUGUGCUGAUGCUAUAUUUCUAUGCCCUUUUUGUGCACAGAUUUGGGAGCAGCUUACGGACCUCAGCAACAGUAGAUUAAGAGUGUGCCUUCAUUCCAGAGACUCCAUGGUAGUUCGCUGGCGUGCUCUGGCCCUGAGUCUCAUAUGUUUCAUUUAUGUUUGUUUUCAUUGUAUCGAGACUGGUUUCUUAUGUAUUUUCUUUCAGACUCUUAUUUGUAGUAAUUCAUAGUAGUCUGCGAGCAUUGUGACUGCUAAAUCUUGGGUAGAGGAUGAUGUUAACUUUCCGGCGUUUCUUUCGUUUAAUAUUAAAUUGAGACUUCCGCUUAACU